rnacentral:rRNA from 1 species
AUUGAACGCUGGCGGUGUGCCUUACACAUGCAAGUCGAACGGCAGCACGGGGCAACCUGGUGGCGAGUGGCGAACGGGUGAGUAAUGCAUCGGAACGUACCUUUCAGUGGGGGAUAACGUAGCGAAAGUUACGCUAAUACCGCAUAUUCUGUGAGCAGGAAAGCAGGGGAUCGCAAGACCUUGCGCUGAUUGAGCGGCCGAUGUCAGAUUAGCUAGUUGGUGAGGUAAAGGCCCACCAAGGCGACGAUCUGUAGCGGGUCUGAGAGGAUGAUCCGCCAAACUGGAACUGGGACACGGUCCAGACUCCUACGGGAGGCAACAGUGGGGAAGAUUUGACAAUGGGCGAAAGCAUGAUCCAGCCAUGCCGCGUGUGUGAAGAAGGUCUUCGGAUUGUAAAGCACUUUAAGUCGGGAGGAAGGGCUGCAGGUUAAUACCUUGCAGCCUUGACGUUACCGACAGAAUAAGCACCGGCUAACUUCGUGCCAGCCGCCGCGGUAACAC